rnacentral:sRNA from 1 species
GCUGGGCACAGUGGUGGGUGCCUGUAAUCCCAGCAACUCAGGAGGCUGAGGAAGGAGGAUCACAAGCUCAAGGCCAGCCUCAGCAGCUUAGGGAGAUUCUGUUUUUA